rnacentral:rRNA from 1 species
CGGCCCCAGACUCCUACGGGGAGGCAACAGUAGGGAAUCUUCCGCCAAUUGGACGAAAGUCUGACGGAGCAACGCCGCGUGAGUGAUGAAGGUUUUCGGAUCGUAAAGCUCUGUUGUUAGGGAAGAACAAGUGCAAGAGUAACUGCUUGCACCUUGACGGUACCUAACCCGGAAAGCCACGGCUAACUACGUGCCAGCAGCCGCGGUAAUACGUAGGUGGCAAGCGUUGUCCGGAAUUAUUGGGCGUAAAGGGCUCGCAGGCGGUUUCUUAAGUCUGAUGUGAAAGCCCCCGGGUUCAACCGGGGAGGGUCAUUGGAAACUGGGAAACUUGAGUGCAGAAGAGGAGAGUGGAAUUCCACGGUGUAGCGGUGAAAUGCGUAGAGAUGUGGAGGAACACCAGUGGCGAAGGCGACUCUCUGGUCUGUAACUGACGCUGAGGAGCGAAAGCGUGGGGAGCGAACAGGAUUAGAUACCCUGGUAGUCCACGCCGUAAACGAUGAGUGCUAAGUGUUAGGGGGUUUCCGCCCCUUAGUGCUGCAGCUAACGCAUUAAGCACUCCGCCUGGGGAGUACGGUCGCAAGACUGAAACUCAAAGGAAUUGACGGGGGCCCGCACAAGCGGUGGAGCAUGUGGUUUAAUUCGAAGCAACGCGAAGAACCUUACCAGGUCUUGACAUCCUCUGACAACCCUAGAGAUAGGGCUUUCCCUUCGGGGACAGAGUGACAGGUGGUGCAUGGUUGUCGUCAGCUCGUGUCGUGAGAUGUUGGGUUAAGUCCCGCAACGAGCGCAACCCUUGAUCUUAGUUGCCAGCAUUCAGUUGGGCACUCUAAGGUGACUGCCGGUGACAAACCGGAGGAAGGUGGGGAUGACGUCAAAUCAUCAUGCCCCUUAUGACCUGGGCUACACACGUGCUACAAUGGACAGAACAAAGGGCUGCGAGACCGCAAGGUUUAGCCAAUCCCACAAAUCUGUUCUCAGUUCGGAUCGCAGUCUGCAACUCGACUGCGUGAAGCUGGAAUCGCUAGUAAUCGCGGAUCAGCAUGCCGCGGUGAAUACGUUCCCGGGCCUUGUACACACCGCCCGUCACACCACGAGAGUUUGCAACACCCGAAGUCGGUGAGGUAACCUUU